rnacentral:rRNA from 1 species
ACGUUAGCGGCGGACGGGUGAGUAACACGUGGGUAACCUACCUAUAAGACUGGGAUAACUUCGGGAAACCGGAGCUAAUACCGGAUAAUAUUUCGAACCGCAUGGUUCGAUAGUGAAAGAUGGUUUUGCUAUCACUUAUAGAUGGACCCGCGCCGUAUUAGCUAGUUGGUAAGGUAACGGCUUACCAAGGCGACGAUACGUAGCCGACCUGAGAGGGUGAUCGGCCACACUGGAACUGAGACACGGUCCAGACUCCUACGGGAGGCAGCAGGG